AUAAAUACAUACUUUUUAACUGAAAGCAUCAACUUGCUGUUUGUGCACCACACAAAGGAAAAUUUGCCAGUGAAAAUAUUAGCAGGAUCAAGCAUGUUGUAGAUGUUGUUCUUGUCUACCCUUCAAAAUGCUGACCAGCUAUUUGCACAUAUAGAUGCCUUAGAAUCCCAGAACUGUAGGACCACAGAAUGGCCUGCAUUGGAAGGGACCUCAAAGCCCACAUGGUCCCAGUCCGUGCCAUGGGCAGGGCUGCCCCCCACCAGCUCAGCUGCCCAGGGCCCCAUCCAACCUGGCCUUGAGCGCCUCCAGCGAUGGGGCACCACAGCUUCUCUGGGCAGCUGUGCCAGCGCCUCACUGCCCUCUUAGUGAAAAAUUUCCACCUGUCAUCUAAUCUAAAUCUAAUCUAAAUCUCUCCUCUUUCAGUUUAGCUCUGCCACAAGACUCCUGUAGCUGUUACUUCCACUCAAUUGGAGGUGACUGUCCAAUUGUAUGUAGCAACGAGGUAUGUCCACCAGAUGGCUCUACUUCAAGGAGUAAUACAAUUCUGACUUUUUGAGCUUAUUAUCCCUAAAUCUAUUGCUGCCACCAGUGAAGUCGGACUUGGCAAUGCUGCAGUUUGCUGUGCCA
ensembl:lncRNA